UUUCAGCUAAAACUGAUGACGCACUGAAAACAAAGGAAAAUGUGAAAGAAGGAGCAGCUAUAAAGGAGGAAGAGGAAGUUUCUCUCGCCGAGCAGGUGAGGAGGAUAAAGGAUAUCGAGGCCAUCGAGAGCGACUCUUUUGUUCCUCAGGCUUUCAAAUCAUCCCGGGACGCCAGCAAGGUGACUGAAUGUCCUGAAAUAAAGAAAGAGGCCGAGACUGUGAAGGAUGAAGUCAGCGUUUUACCCACCUCCAUCACUUACAAUGACAGCGACACCCUAACCCACCCUAAUCUGUUUGUGGAUAAAGAGGAGGCUGAGAGGUUGUGGUUGAACAGACUGAUUUCUCUGCGUCAGGAGAGACUCAUGGGUAGUCCCGUAUCCUGACCACCGCUGCGGAUGUCUGAUGAAGAUGAGGAUUUCGCUUUUGCUUUUUGUAAUUCGGAUCUCAAAGAAGGUGCAACUGCUCCACCUGCUGGUCUCAAUGGGGAUGUGUAGGUUAAUGAUGGCUACACUGUAAAAAUAUAUAUAUAUAUCUGCUUCGUAUUUUCCGUAAGUGUUUUAAGGGCAUUAUGGGAUGUUUAUCUCUGCUCUGUUUACUCUUGAUGUUGAAAAUUCUGACUUUUAUUGACAUUUUAGUCGUUUGAGAUAUUGAUAUCUAGAGAAAUAAGUGUGUAAGAUAUCAGAAAAUGUGCUGGCAGUUUGUUUACAAAGGUUUUUGUAGCGUAAUAUACAACACUAACCCAGACAAUAUAGCACUGCAAACUAUUAACCAAGUCAAUUAAAGUUCAUUUUUUAAACAACAUCGAAAGCAUUUGGCAGGAAUGACAACGAAUCACAAAAUUACAAAUACGAAUCACAAACUAUGGAAACCUGUCAGUUUACAGGUAUUUUUACAGUGGGCUGUGUAGUGUUAAAGCUUUUAGAAUUUAAGGACAAGAUUUUUUUUCUCCUAUUUUGAGCAGACGGCCUUCAACACUGUAAAUAAAAAACUAAAUUAGCAGUGUUUCGUAUUUUCUGAUUCAUGGUUUUAUUCUGUAUUUUCUCCAU